rnacentral:rRNA from 1 species
UACAGAGGUCUCAAGCGUUUGUUCGGAUUCAUUGGGCGUAAAGGGUGCGUAGGUGGCGGGGUAAGUCAGGUGUGAAAUCUCGGAGCUCAACUCCGAAACUGCACUUGAUACUGCCUUGCUUGAGUACUGGAGAGGAGAUUGGAAUUUAACGGUGUAGCAGUGAAAUGACGUAGAUAUCGUAAGGAAGACCAGUGGCGAAGGCGAAUCUC